rnacentral:rRNA from 1 species
AGAACGAACGCUGGCGGCAGGCUUAACACAUGCAAGUCGAACGCUCGUAGCAAUACGGGAGUGGCAGACGGGUGAGUAACGCGUGGGAACAUACCCUCCGGUUCGGAAUAGCUCAGGGAAACUUGGAUUAAAUACCGGAUACGGCUGAGAGGCGAAAGAUUUAUCGCCGGAGGAUUGGCCCGCGUUCGAUUAGCUUGUUGGUGAGGUAACGGCUCACCAAGGCGAUGAUCGAUAGCUGGUCUGAGAGGAUGAUCAGCCACAUUGGGACUGAGACACGGCCCAAAACUCCUACGGGAGGCAGCAGUGGGAAUAUUGGACAAUGGGCGCAAGCCUGAUCCAGCCAUGCCGCGUGAGUGAUGACGGCCUUAGGGUUGUAAAAGCUCUUUCGCUCGGGACGAUAAUGACGGUACCGAGAUAAGAAGCCCCGGCUAACUUCGUGCCAGCAGCCGC